rnacentral:rRNA from 1 species
CAAUAGCGUAUAUUAAAGUUGUUGCAGUUAAAAAGCUCGUAGUUGGAUUUCUGGAUGGAGCGACCGGUCGGGCAUUAAUUUGUCUGCACUGGAGUCGGUUCCGUCCAUCCUCUUGGAAAGUGCGUGGGGCAUUAAGUUGUCUGGCGUAUGAUCCAAGUCGUUUACUGUGAAAAAAUUAGAGUGUUUAAAGCAGGCCUUCGCCUUGAAUACAUUAGCAUGGAAUAAUAAGAUAGGACUUUGGUCUAUUUUGUUGGUUUGCAGACCGAAGUAAUGAUUAAUAGGGAUAGUUGGGGGUAUUUAUAUUCCGAUGUCAGAGGUGAAAUUCUUAGAUUUUCGGAAGAUAAACUUAUGCGAANGNAUUUAGNAAGGAUGUUUNCAUUA